UCUCCGUAGGUGAACCUGCGGAGGGAUCAUUACAGAGACUCUGCCCUUUGGUUAGUCCUCCCACCCUGUUUCGUUAUACCUUCGUUGCUUUGGCCGGCCGCGGGGCCCCGGCCCCGCCCCUGGCUCCGGCUAGGGCGGGCCCGCCAGAGGACCUCAAAACCUGAAUGUUAGUGUCGUCUGAGUACUAUAUAAUAGUUAAAACUCUCAACAACGGAUCUCUUGGUUCUG
rnacentral:misc_RNA from 1 species